AACGAACGCUGGCGGCAGGCCUAACACAUGCAAGUCGAACGCCCGUAGCAAUACGGGAGUGGCAGACGGGUGAGUAACGCGUGGGAACGUGCCCUUCGGUUCGGAAUAACUCAGGGAAACUUGAGCUAAUACCGGAUACGUCCGUAAGGAGAAAGAUUUAUCGCCGAAGGAUCGGCCCGCGUCGGAUUAGCUAGUUGGUGAGGUAAUGGCUCACCAAGGCGACGAUCCGUAGCUGGCUGAGAGGAUGAUCAGCCACACUGGGACUGAGACACGGCCCAGACUCCUACGGGAGGCAGCAGUGGGGAAUAUUGGACAAUGGGCGAAAGCCUGAUCCAGCCAUGCCGCGUGAGUGAAGAAGGCCUUAAGGGUUGUAAAGCUCUUUCAGCGGGGAAGAUAAUGACGUACCCGCAGAAG
rnacentral:rRNA from 1 species